CUCAUUUUCUCUUGCAGCCUCCAUGUAAGAAGAGCUUUUUGCCUCCCGCCAUGAUUCUGAGGCCUCCCCAGCCAUGCGGAACUGAGCAUUAUCUUGCUUUAUAGGGCAAGUCCAGGAAGCAGUGUGUGACAAAGAAUGAGUACCCAGUGCUGGAGGGCAUGGAGCAAUCCAUCGGCAGCUCCCGGUGGUGAUGAGAUGGGUGUGUGUGGCCCAUAAAUCAACUGGACGCACUUCCCUUUGUUUGCACACUGCCACCGACACAGGCUUGCUAUGAAGAAGAAGAAAUUUUGCUCAGAGGAAACUAGAAAACCUGAACGUAAUUACUAAUGAGAUGUCUGCAAUGUGUCAAGUCUUAACAUCAGAUUGGACACCACCACCAUUUCCUGUUCCACACUGAUCUUCACAUGGUUCUUGCUUUUUAACACAACCUCUGAAAACCGAGCCUCACAAAGGAUGUAUGAAAAAUGCUUCUCUACUCUCAGUGAGGCUUUAUAGAAUACACAGCCCUCUAUGCCACUCUAUGAAGAAAGCAAAGAAAAAGAUCACUCCUAAAAGCAGUGUGCUUUCCCUCAGUGGAAGUCUGUGGAGCAUGGUGAAAUCAGCCAAUCAGAACGUGCGGAGGCCCACUCUAGAGGCACACAGGAAACUAGAAUGAGUGACGCCUGAGAGUUCAAGACAGCAAGCUGCUUUGAGCCCACCAAGGAACGCUGUGACUGUUUUUGUCUUGGCCAGGUGCAGUGGCUCAUGUCUGUAUUCCCAGCACUUUGGGAGACUGAGACGGGUGGAUCACAAGGCCAGGAGUUCGAGAUCAGCCUAUCCAACAUGGUGAAACCCCAUCUCUAAUAAAAAUACAAAAAUUAGCUGGGCGUGGUGGUGGGCACCUGUAAUCCCAGCUACUUGGGAGGCUGAGGCAGGCGAAUUGCUUGAACCUGGG
rnacentral:lncRNA from 1 species